GACGAAGGAUGCAAGCGUUAUCCGGAUUCAUUGGGUUUAAAGGGAGCGUAGGCGGACUUGUAAGUCAGUGGUGAAAUCUGUGGGCUUAACCCACAAACUGCCAUUGAUACUGCAGGUCUAGAGUACAGUUGCCGUUGGCGGAAUAUGACAUGUAGUGGUGAAAUACUUAGAUAUGUCAUAGAACACCGAUUGCGAAGGCAGCUAACGAAGCUGUAUCUGACGCUGAGGCUCGAAAGUGCGGGGAUCAAACAGG
rnacentral:rRNA from 1 species